AAGGCGCGCAGCUCCGGCAGGCUGAUGUUGAAGAUGCGGCUGAAGUUGUGCAGGGUCCGGUUCCAGCGGAGCUGCGCCUCCGCCUCCGACGGGCUCUCGAGGGCCGAGAAGACGGUGGCGCCGGCGCUCAGCUGGGAUCCAGUCCCCAACACGUUCCCAGAAGCACUUGCCUUGCUGCAGCAGAGCGUGGUGAAGAGUGGAGGAGGAAUGUCUGUCUGGGAGCCCGGAGUCCUGAAUCUCGUGAUGCUACUGAGACAACAAUGAUGGGAAUGAGUCCUCCUUACAUGUCAUGUCCCUUCCUGCAUUUGACAAACCCUGUGGCUACAGCUCUUAGAAAUCUCUCCAGCCAGUGGCAUCAAAAUGAAACCUGCUAAGCUGACAGUCACUCCAUCAGGAUGAGGCUUUAUAGCAGUUCAGGACAGUCAGCCUUUGAUCACAGCGCCGAAGAAAAUAUUGGCAACCCCUUUGGCCUGCCAGAUUUGUUUUCUAGAGUGAGAAACUUCAGAGAGCGAUCCUUGCUGAUUACACCUGUCAGUUAUCAACAGACAGGUCAAAAUGUCCCUUAUCCCCUGGCUUUGUCCCUCUUGUUUUUUUCAGGUAUCAGGACUGGUGAUAGUUUUUGGGAGCAUUAACAUUCAUCCCACAUUUAUUGGUGCCUGACCCAAGGCUCCUGGGUGUGACUGGCUGGUGUGUUUCCCAGGCAGUGGACCAGAUGAGAUGUGUGUCAUUGCUAAGAAGUGGAAGUGUGGAUCAUUUUCUGAGUUGCCUUCCCUACUCCUGUUCACCUUCUGACAUGCAGCAGCUAUCUGCCUGCAGAGAGGAACAGAAUGUGCCACAGUGAGUGAUGAAAGAAGAAAAGCAUCUCGUUCAGGAGUAAUUCAAAAGGAGCUCUUCUCUUUGCAUUGCUAAUCUUGAUGAGAUAUACAGAUCUUGAAUACACAAUCCAUUUUAAUAAAACUGUGGAGUAUAUGCAAAUGCUUUUUUUUAAUGUGGUCAGAUUUCUCAGAGCAUCUUUUUGAUUUAUUCAGUCAAUUUUCAACAAUCUAUCUAAACGUAUUUCUUAAAUAGCCACUUAACAAGUUAUUUUCCCUUUCUUACCAGCUCUUAGAUAGGUGGUCUGAAUUUGCUAAGAAAGUUGUUGGAGGACUAUUACAAAAUGAACUUUCAAGUCAAUGAAAGUUUUCUGUGUUGGUUAUGUGUGUUAGUGAUCAGUGAGAGCCUGAACUGACAUCUCUUGAGCAUACAUUAACCUCCUCACUCUUCCUGAUGAGUUAUUAGGAAGUUAAAAUUAAGUAUUUAAAAAAGCUGUCAAAGGUUUAUGCCUUCUGAAGAGACACAAAUAACGUUACAGUCAGUUAGUGAUGAGCAACUGCUUUCCUUUGCAUCACUUGUUUUUCUUGGGCUUUACUUUGCUCUCUGUUUCUUGGUUGUUGUUUUGUUUGUUUGUUUUUAACCUAAAAUUUUCCUGUUUAAUUAUUAAACUGCCUCCAUCUCAAUCCAGGAGUUUUCUCCCUUUCCCCCUCCAGAGUCUCCUUGCCAUUCCCCGAUGGGGGAGUGGUCAACAGGCUGUCUUGUGCCCAGCUGCUGGCCAGGGUUAAACCAUGGUUACAUGCUGAUGGUGAGAGUGCUCAUUCUUCUGCCUUUGCCAGGGUGUGGGUGUCCCCUGUGACGUAUCAGAACCUCAGCAGUCUGGCUGCUGUUGGAGCCACUCCAAAAACCUUCUGGGUGAGCCAAUGUAUUUGUACUGGCCAGCGUGGAAGUUUGGUUUACAGCAAUACCAUGAGGCGGGGGGUCCUGAAGAAACUUCCCAAGACUCAGAAAGCAAGGAUGAUGGCCACAGGCUGCACAUCUGGAGAGUGCUCUUUAUUCAUUAAUGUUAUUUCCUGAAGUUUGAAGACUAAUAAGAAGGGUUUGAAAAACAAAACACUCUCAGUAAGAAAAUGGUACCAUUUCUGUAGCCCACUUACAUUACAGGCCCUUUUUGCACAGGAUAAAGAGUUGACCCUAAAACAUCUUAUUCCUGAAGUCUUCUUUCUCCUAAACAAAGUAUAAAUACACAUUUUCACUUAUUAGUUUCACCUGCAUGUCUUUAAAAUACAAUUGCCUUAUGAACUCCUAUUUUCUAUAGAUAAAUACCACGGCCCUAUAAGCUGUUCAUCUUUCUGAUGGAAGAGGUGUCCUGUUGUCAGAGAAAUUGCUUUAGUUAAUUAUUUAAAUGUUUGACCAGAACUGGUUCUAAUACUACAAUUUCCCGUUAGUGGCCUAUUUGCACCUUGUAGUUAAACAGUAAAUAAACUAUGUUAAAGCACAAAUCCCUCUAGAACAAGGCAGGUUUCUUGGCUCGUUCUCUGCAGUCCCGUGCGCUGCAUGUCCCAUCCCCAUUACCUGACGAGCACCCUGCGGUGAUGCCGCGGUGAACGUCUGCUUCCCAGAGCUCCAGUGCAGGCAGCCAACAGUGCCUCCCAGGUGUGAAGUACAGCCUGCAUACAGGGUGCAAUCUGAGACAUCCUAAAGUAACCCCAUGCAUCCGUUUUCCAGAUCAGAGCCUAACAGAAAUAUAUAAAGCAAGAUGCGUUGGAGUCUGGCAAGGUGCGUCAGCGUCUGCCUAAACCCAUCUGAAUGCUCAGUAACUCAGUGUAUUCUAUUUAUGAUGUGUUUUCACAGAAGAGAAAAAGAAGCCCCCCACCCUCCCUUAAAAUUACUGAAGUCAUAGUGAUCUGUGCAUAAUUUCUGAAUGAUUUAUGGUCAUUAAAGGGGAUGUUCAGGCUAGUCUUCAGACGUUUUAUUCAUGGAAUAAACCUAGAUGGUUUUGUAAAGACAUAAGUACGAUUGUGCCACCCUACUUUUAGAAUGAAUGAAUGAUAAUGUAUGAAAUAUACAAGAAAAAUAUAUGAAAUAUAUCAAAAUGACUAUAUUUUAUGGUUUAUUUGUUAUAUUGUUACCACCAGCAUUUGGGAUUCUUCUACAGUGUAUACAUUUUUUGUUAAAUACUUUUUAUAAAAUAUGGAACCAUUUAAAAGAAUCCAUUUAAAAGAAAUUAGUUUUAUUAUUUUUGUAUAUUUUUAAUAUAAUUCUCCACUAUGUGCUGCAAUGGCAUAGAAAGUUGCAACUCUUUGUACCCAUGUUCUUCACUUUCUUCUGGAUUUUUGAAGGGAAAGGCUAGAAUUCUUAUUCCUAACCCACAAGAAAUACAAUUUUUCUGAUGCAGUCAUAGCUAUUGCUUUGCUGCUGCUUUACUAAAACCACAUCUAUUAACCACAGGUGAAUUACAAUGUAAGUACUUAUGAUAGACAAAAUGUAAAAGACAAAAGACACAUGCAGAGAGAGAAAUUACUUUCUUCAGGCCACAAGGCAGAUGUAGGAGCGGAGCUGGACCUAGAAAUCUGUAGGGCCAUAUCCUAUAAUCCAACAUGUUUCUUAGAAGUAAUAAAAUGUACAGUUUUCAGGGCUUUUGAUUUGUUUUCUACUGCCAUUCUGUUACCUGCUAUCAUACAUAAACAGUCUUUUGUUUUUCUCAGCAUGCCUUAUUAUUCAAUAAAAAUCCAAGUGGAACAUACAGCUUUCUAUGAAGAAACAUAGAUUUUGUAUAUAAGCUUCAAGACAGCACUUUAUUUUUCCCAUAUGGAAGAUAAUGGCUUAACAAUAAGGUUGCUUUUCCAACGCAGUAAGGGCAAUAAAGAUAAA